ACUUUUUUUUUUUUUGGGGGAUUGCAGGAAAGAGCCACAGAUUUGCUUCUUCCUAGCAAGGGCGUGAUACUAAUUCCAGAUCCAUCCAAAUAUUGUUCACUGCUUCUUAGACAGAGACCCCUUUCUCCCAGGACCCUUGAGACACCUUUGCUGUGAAUAAUGGAGAAGCAAAAGGAGUUACUAAUGAAGACAAACUAAACCUGAGAACAGAGAGAGCCUAACUAUGUGCUCCAGAAGUGCCAUGUGUGUCUAAGGUAGGUCCAAAGGUAUGAGUCUAGAGAUAUUAUGUAUAAAACACCUAAUUGAAUGUCAAAAAAUCCAUAGAAGCUUAAUAAUUGGUAGCAAUUAUUAUUACUCAUUAGUGUGGGGGCUGGGAAGAUGACAACAGAGUAUAACUUGGAGGGUUGGUGUAGAGCAAUUAGCUAGCAACUGUAGUUUGAAUUUCCAUGAAGUAGUUCCCUUAAUUGUGUACACACAAACACAUCAAAACUGAAACCACAGCUAUGUGAUUUAAUAAUGUUGCACGUUUAGACAUGAUACAAGGCACUUUUGCCUACAUUAUCUUUCUGUGAGUUUAACAUUAGACCUGGUAUAAUUAUCCUAAAUUUACUACUAGAGAAUUUAGUUUGAAAAGUCAUGCAACUUUUCUAAAGAAUUUUUUCUGAUUUAAUAACACCAAUCAAUGAAUUAAUCAAUCAACUGUUCUGGCCAUUAAAUGUGUGAGAAAAAAAAGUCAGUGUAUUAAUUAUAAUUAUAUACCGAGACUUGGCUCUGUGUGUUUCACAAAAUAAGUAUAAAGUAUCAAAUUUGUUAUAAAUGUGUGACCCAUUAAAAGAAAAAAAAACUUGAUAGAUGUGUAUUUGGUAACAGCUUUUUAGAAAAUUUUUUGAACAUUUAUGAUGUUCAGAAAAGAACAGUGAUCAGUGUGCUAAAUUAAAUUACUUGAAUAAAUUAUGGAGAAAAAGUUCUGAUUUUUGUGCAAGGUUUGCAUUCUGGAUUGAGGUCCAGUUCUUUUUGAAGUAUCUGAAAUCAAACAUAUAUUUCCAAACCCUGAGGACUGAUUUCCUUCUGAAGACCACCCUCUCUUCUAUUUGAGGAACUCCAUAUUCCUUCUUGUAACACUACUCUGAUUCUAUAUCAAGCAAUCUUGGCCUUGUUAAGAUAAGAAAGUUGCCUUAAGCACUUUCCAAAGCUUUCCUACAUUCACUGUUGGUGGAUGGUGUCCCUACCCUACUUGUUCCCCUGCAGAACCUCA
ensembl:lncRNA novel transcript